rnacentral:rRNA from 1 species
UGGCUCGAGGACGAACGCUGGCGGCGUGCUUAACACAUGCAAGUCGAACGGGAGUAUUGAAGAAGCUUGCUUUAGAGAUACUUUAGUGGCGGACGGGUGAGUAACGCGUGAGGAGCUGUCCUAUGCAGGGGGACAACAGCUGGAAACGGCUGCUAAUACCCCAUAAGCCGAGAGGUAAAAGGAUCAAUCCGGCAGAGGAGGUACUCGCGUCCUAUCAGCUAGUAGGUGAGGUAACGGCUCACCUAGGCGAAGACGGGUAGCCGGCCUGAGAGGGCGAACGGCCACACUGGAACUGAGAUACGGUCCAGACUCCUACGGGAGGCAGCAGUGGGGAAUAUUGGGCAAUGGGGGAAACCCUGACCCAGCGACGCCGCGUGGGUGAAGAAAUCCUUCGGGAUGUAAAGCCCUGUUGUAUGGGAAGAGCGGAAGACGGUACCAUACGAGGAAGCCCCGGCAAACUACGUGCCAGCAGCGGC